UACGAAGGGGGCUAGCGUUGCUCGGAAUCACUGGGCGUAAAGCGCACGUAGGCGGAUUGCUAAGUCAGGGGUGAAAUCCUGGAGCUCAACUCCAGAACUGCCCUUGAUACUGGCGGUCUCGAGUCCGGGAGAGGUGAGUGGAACUGCGAGUGUAGAGGUGAAAUUCGUAGAUAUUCGCAAGAACACCAGUGGCGAAGGCGGCCUUCUGGACCAUUCUUGACGCUGAGACGCGAAAGCGUGGGGAGCAAACAGG
rnacentral:rRNA from 1 species